GAUGAACGCUAGCGACAGGCCUAACACAUGCAAGUCGAGGGGCAGCGAGAAUAAAGCUUGCUUUAUUUGUCGGCGACCGGCGCACGGGUGAGUAACGCGUAUGCAACCUUCCGCUACUCGGGGGAUAACCCGGAGAAAUUCGGACUAACACCGUAUGUGCUUAGGAUUCGCAUGAAUUUUAAGUGAAAAGUUAUGAGUAGCGAUGGGCAUGCGUAUGAUUAGCUAGUUGGCGGGGUAACGGCCCACCAAGGCAUCGAUCAGUAGGGGUUCUGAGAGGAAGGUCCCCCACAUAGGAACUGAGACACGGUCCUA
rnacentral:rRNA from 1 species